rnacentral:rRNA from 1 species
GACGAACGCUGGCGGCGUGCCUAAUACAUGCAAGUCGAGCGGACUGAAUGGGAGCUUGCUCUUGUUCGGUCAGCGGCGGACGGGUGAGUAACACGUGGGCAACCUGCCCGCAAGACCGGGAUAACUCCGGGAAACCGGAGCUAAUACCGGAUAACACCGAAGACCGCAUGGUCUUUGGUUGAAAGGCGGCGCAAGCUGCCACUUGCGGAUGGGCCCGCGGAGCAUUAGCUAGUUGGUGAGGUAACGGCUCACCAAGGCGACGAUGCGUAGCCGGCCUGAGAGGGUGACAGGCCACACUGGGACUGAGACACGGCCCAGACUCCUACGGGAGGCAGCAGUAGGGAAUCUUCCGCAAUGGGCGAAAGCCUGACGGAGCGACGCCGCGUGAGCGAAGAAGGCCUUCGGGUCGUAAAGCUCUGUUGUGAGGGACGAAGGAGCGCCGUUUGAAGAAGGCGGCGCGGUGACGGUACCUCACGAGGAAGCCCCGGCUAACUACGUG